rnacentral:rRNA from 1 species
UACGUAGGGGGCGAGCGUUGUCCGGAUUUAUUGGGCGUAAAGAGCGUGUAGGCGGCCAGGUAGGUCCGUUGUGAAAACUCGAGGCUCAACCUCGAGACGUCGAUGGAAACCAUCUGGCUAGAGUCCGGAAGAGGAGAGUGGAAUUCCUGGUGUAGCGGUGAAAUGCGCAGAUAUCAGGAAGAACACCUAUGGCGAAGGCAGCUCACUGGGACGGUACUGACGCUGAGGCGCGAAAGCGUGGGGAGCAAACAGG